GGACGAACGCUGGCGGCGCGCCUAACACAUGCAAGUCGAACGAGCGAAGAGGAGCUUGCUUCUCUGAGCGAGUGGCGAACGGGUGAGUAACGCGUGAGGAACCUGCCUCAAAGAGGGGGACAACAGUUGGAAACGACUGCUAAUACCGCAUAAGCCCACGGGUCGGCAUCGACCAGAGGGAAAAGGAGCAAUCCGCUUUGAGAUGGCCUCGCGUCCGAUUAGCUAGUUGGUGAGGUAAUGGCCCACCAAGGCGACGAUCGGUAGCCGGACUGAGAGGUUGAACGGCCACAUUGGGACUGAGACACGGCCCAGACUCCUACGGGAGGCAGCAGUGGGGAAUAUUGCACAAUGGGGGAAACCCUGAUGCAGCGACGCCGCGUGGAGGAAGAAGGUCUUCGGAUUGUAAACUCCUGUUGUUGAGGAAGAUAAUGACGGUACUCAACAAGGAAGUGACGGCUAACUACGUG
rnacentral:rRNA from 1 species